rnacentral:tRNA from 1 species
GAAAGUUAGUUUAGACAAAACAGUUGAUUUCGACCCAACAGACCAUAGACUACCCCUAUGACUUUCUU